rnacentral:lncRNA from 1 species
CUCUUAACCAUUCUAUAGAAUCAGCACCCAUCUUUGAGUCAGAGUUUGAGAUGCAAAUCCUUUACUGUAUAGCCUUGAUCAAAUGACUUCACCUCAUUGAAUUAAUCUUCUUCUGCAUAAAAUGGGGUCACCAUCUGCUUAUCUAAAUUGUUACAAAUGGGACAGUAUAUGUGCCAUUCCAGAUACCUAAUCACAGCUCAAUCGAUGCUGGUGUCUUUUUCCUUUUUCCUUCUGCAGAAAACAUGCUUUACAUAGGAUCUCUGAACUUAAAGAAUGGGAAGAAGAAAAAUCAUGUUUCCAGCUUGGGCUGCUGUUUCAUCUGUUGGACUUGCUUGUGAGCUAAGCCAAGUUUCAUUAAAAAU